GUCUACGGCCACGCCACCCUGAACAAGCCCAUCCCGUCUGAUCCAGAUGCUAAGCAGGGUCGGGCCUGGUUAGUACUUGGAUGGGAGACCACCUAGGAAGACCAGGUGCUGUAGGCA
rnacentral:rRNA from 1 species